UAACACUCUGAAGUAUAGGAUGGCCACAAUGUAAAAAACAGUAAUACAGAUAAUACAAGAAAGAGUAAGACAAAAUUUAUUUUGCUGUUAAGGGCCCAAGCCUUGGAACCAGCAGUAUCAUGCUAAAUCAGUCAUGAGAUCCAGUCCUGGUUAAUGAAACUUCAGAGUGCCUGAUGAAAGUUUUCUUCCUUAACAACAACAACAACAACAACAACAACAAAACAGGGCAAUUCUACUAUAUACCAAAUCUGAAGAGGAGGAUUUUUCAAAUGCGUUGGGAAAAUGUAUCUGAUAUCAAUUCAGCUGAACAAUCAAGAAACACGGAAUGGAGGUCAUCGCUGAUCCUUCCUUUCCUCUCCCAUAUCCAGUCCAUCGUCAAGACCUACCAAAACUCCACUUCCAUUUCCACUGCCAACACCCUAGUUUAAGACAUCACCAUGCUCUCCUGCUUAGCUUUGUGUAACAGCCUAAAUUGGUCUCCUGUGCCUACUCUAAUAUCCCCCAUCCAUUCUCCAUGUGGCAGUAA